rnacentral:rRNA from 1 species
CCUACGGGGGGCAGCAGUGGGGAAUAUUGGACAAUGGGCGAAAGCCUGAUCCAGCCAUGCCGCGUGUGUGAAGAAGGCCUUCGGGUUGUAAAGCACUUUCAGUGGGGAAGAAAGCCUUGGGGCUAAUACCCUCGAGGAAGGACAUCACCCACAGAAGAAGCACCGGCUAACUCCGUGCCAGCAGCCGCGGUAAUACGGAGGGUGCGAGCGUUAAUCGGAAUUACUGGGCGUAAAGCGCGCGUAGGCGGUCUGAUAAGCCGGUUGUGAAAGCCCCGGGCUCAACCUGGGAACGGCAUCCGGAACUGUCAGGCUAGAGUGCAGGAGAGGAAGGUAGAGUUCCCGGUGUAGCGGUGAAAUGCGUAGAGAUCGGGAGGAAUACCAGUGGCGAAGGCGGCCUUCUGGACUGACACUGACGCUGAGGUGCGAAAGCGUGGGUAGCAAACAGGAUUAGAUACCCCAGUAGUC